rnacentral:rRNA from 1 species
UCCGUAGGUGGAUAAUUAAGUCAGAGGUGAAAGUUUGCAGCUCAACUGUAAAAUUGCCUUUGAUACUGGUUAUCUUGAGUUAUUGUGAAGUAGUUAGAAUAUGUAGUGUAGCGGUGAAAUGCAUAGAUAUUACAUAGAAUACCAAUUGCGAAGGCUGAUUACUAACAAUAUACUGACACUGAUGGACGAAAGCGUGGGUAGCGAACAGGAUUAGAUACCCUGGUAGUCC